rnacentral:rRNA from 1 species
AAGGAAUAUUGGUCAAUGGAGGCAACUCUGAACCAGCCAUGCCGCGUGCAGGAAGACAGCCCUCUGGGUCGUAAACUGCUUUUAUUCGGGAAUAAACCUUUCUACGUGUAGAGAGCUGAAUGUACCGAAGGAAUAAGGAUCGGCUAACUCCGUGCCAGCAGCCGCGGUAAUACGGAGGAUCCAAGCGUUAUCCGGAUUUAUUGGGUUUAAAGGGUGCGUAGGCGGCUUAUUAAGUCAGGGGUGAAAGACGGUGGCUCAACCAUCGCAGUGCCUUUGAUACUGAUGAGCUUGAAUGAACUAGAGGUAGGCGGAAUGUGACAAGUAGCGGUGAAAUGCAUAGAUAUGUCACAGAACACCGAUUGCGAAGGCAGCUUACUAUGGUUUUAUUGACGCUGAGGCACGAAAGCGUGGGGAUCAAAC